AUUAAAGAAACUUUGUAGAAGUAGAACAUUGAAGAUGUUUAUAUGGUUUAUUCCCUUUAAUA
rnacentral:tRNA from 1 species